AACUAGUUGAGAGCUGAUGUUGCUCUCUUGAUGAGGCCAUGGUAGGUCGAAACUAGUU
rnacentral:hammerhead_ribozyme from 1 species